CCUGAGAAGGAAAGAGCGAGAAAGAGAGUCAUGGCGAUACCUCUGUUAGGGUCUACUGGAAACACUGACAGCGGCGGCUCUGUGAGAACCCUUUAGAUGCACUAUGGCACGGUGCCUGCUUCAGGUGGCUGCUGAGGAGAAGAAACCCUUCAAUGCAUGCAAAGCACUCACGCCUGGCACGCAGGGAGCACCCAGAGGAAGCACUAGUGACCUCCCAGGCUGGAAACACCACAAGGACAGGGCACUGUCAGCUUCGCUGCUGCCCUGUGGGGCUCCACAUCACAGACUGAUAUGCUAGCAGGACCGCACACAUCUGCUGCCCAGGAAAGGACGGUUUCGUAUUUUCUGGAUUAUGACCAGCUAUUGAUCUACUUAUUCUACAAUCUGUAUCCUACAUUUUGCUUUAUUUGGUCUUUUCUCUUAGAUGGCCUGCCUACCAGCUAUGAAAAAGAACAGAAAACCACCAGGCAAACACUCCAGUUAUGGCCAACAAGUACUAACAGCUGACGAGGUGAAAUCCUGUCUGAAGUCACAGAUUUUGCUGAAGUCCCUUGGACUGUCAUCUCAAUUUGCUUCCGGAGAGACAGCCAAGACCAUGAACCUGGCGAGGUCCCUCCAACCCACGGUGAAAUAGCUUCUCGUUUACACGUGUCCAAGGACACAGGUCUCCUUUUAUAGAUGUCUAAUUUACAUGAAUGUUACACUUCUGGCUUCCUCCUCACCUAGUUUUUCUAAAAUGCUGUAGAGGACUCAGUCACAGCGCUCUCUUGUAUUUUAUUUACCCAUUCCCUUGCUGUGGUUACUCGGUUGUUUCCAAACUAUUUCCAACAAUGCAACAAUGAACAUCCUU